UACGUAGGGGGCGAGCGUUGUCCGGAUUCAUUGGGCGUAAAGCGCGCGCAGGCGGCCGCGAGAGCCCGGCGUGAAAGCCCCCGGCUCAACCGGGGGAGGCCGUCGGGGACCUCGGGGCUGGAGGCCGGUAGGGGCGAGCGGAAUUCCCGGUGUAGUGGUGGAAUGUGUAGAGAUCGGGAGGAACACCGGUGGCGGAGGCGGCUCGCUGGGCCGGUCCUGACGCUCGGGCGCGAAAGCGUGGGUAGCAAACAGG
rnacentral:rRNA from 1 species